rnacentral:rRNA from 1 species
UCUCAGUUCGGAUUGGAGUCUGNAACCCGACUCCAUGAAGCUGGAUUCGCUAGUAAUCGCGCAUCAGCCACGGCGCGGUGAAUACGUUCCCGGGCCCUUGUACACACCGCCCGUCAAGCCAUGGAAGCCGGGGGUGCCUGAAGUGCGCUGCCGCAAGGAGCGCCCUAGGGUAAAACCGGUGACUGGGGCUAAGUCGUAACAAGGUAGC